CGAACUAUUCUUUCGCCUUUUACUAAAGAAUACCG
rnacentral:scaRNA from 1 species